UAUUUCUGCUCGUUGUAAAAUGUCAGCUGUUAUCGACUGUUGUAUUAUAUAUUGCAAUUAACGAUUCACGAUAACAGAUAAUAGGGUUUUGAUUUAAGUUUUUAAUUAAUGCCAGUCGGAUAACUUUUACGAACCGUAGGGUAUAUCUCAAAAUUGAACUCUGAACACGAUUUUGAUACUGAGCUAAUACCUGUUGAUCUUAACGACCUCUCCCCUCAAGACUUUGUGGUCUAUAAGUUCGGCACUUCGGCUGUUACGUCUGCCAGGCUGAACAGGAAGCUGUACAACAACCGGUCUGACAAGUUACAAGUGUGGACCUACAUCAUAUCUUCUAGAUGUACAGGUACAAAUUCUACUAGUACGAUUCGAUGCAGUGGAAGAGGUUGAAGUUGACGUUUAAGCACUAAGCAGUCACCCUGCCGAACAAGAAAUCAGUCAGGCAA